rnacentral:lncRNA from 1 species
AUGUCUUUCCCCCCCCCCUUCUCCCUGGCUACAAAAUUCAGACAAUACCUUUCUAACCUUUUCUGCAGCUGCAGAAGUAGCAAAAGCAAUAUGAAAAACCUAACAAGUAUUUGCAAGCAACGGAUUCUCUUCUCCGGACGACAGAAAAGAGGAAGGAAGGGGGAGAGGGGGGGGGAGGAGAGCGCAAAGAAUAAAGCCAUUCUUCCCUUCUCCCGUCUGACUGGCAAGAAAAGGGCGUGGCCAGCGGCUCAGCACCAACAGCCCCAUAGACUGCGGAUUUUCUCUUUUUUCCUCCAGCACCAAAAGACUGGAUCCGGCCCCGAGCAGACAGUAACCUCUCGGCUGCCGCACUGCGUGCAGGCGCGCGCACACACAUACAAAGACAUUCAGGUGGGAGAGAUAACCUGCAAAAGGUGCAGGAUUUUUAGACAUCAUCCUGCAACACCGCAAUUGGAGUGCAUCCGUGCAAAAAAGCAGGGAUCCCCGUCCGACCCCACCCCCGCGCCCUCCUUUCUGGUCGAUGCAGCCCUCCGCCGCAGCGGUGCAAAUAGGGGACCAACGUACAUCCACAUCACUCCUCCGUCCUGCCUUCCAGCUCACGGCGAGCCCCGAAGGCGCUCAGUGGCUUCUUUCAUUGCGCCACUUUACAUCUCACCGCUUCGCUCGCUUCCCAUUGCACGGCCGCCCAGCCUCAUUUGCAUACCACGCGAGCUCACGGCCAAUGGGGUGCCGAAGAGCCGGCCCCCUUCGAUCGAUGGAGGACAGGGCGUGGUGGUGGUGGGGCGCGCAUGCGCGGCAGGACUCUGCUUUGAUUGCUGUAGGGAGGCGUCGCUUUUCUCGUCCUCCCUCCUUUUCUGCUGCCUGAGGACUGGGCUGGGUUUUAGGAAGCAAAGGGAAGAAAAGGCGACGCGCCGGGGAUCGCGGUUUCUCUCCCGUUCCAGUCAUUCUUUUUUUCCCCCUGCCCCCCCUUGGAAGGAACUGGACAAAGCUUUUUUGUUUUUGUUUUUUUACUUCUUGCAAAGCAAAUCUUGCAGCUGUUUUUAG